rnacentral:rRNA from 1 species
CCUUACAUGCAGUCGACGGCAGCACGGGAGCAAUCCUGGUGGCGAGUGGCGAACGGGUGAGUAAUGUAUCGGAACGUACCUUUCAGUGGGGGAUAACGUAGCGAAAGUUACGCUAAUACCGCAUAUUCUGUGCGCAGGAAAGCAGGGGAUCGCAAGACCUUGCGCUGAUUGAGCGGCCGAUAUCAGAUUAGCUAGUUGGUGAGGUAAAGGCUCACCAAGGCGACGAUCUGUAGCGGGUCUGAGAGGAUGAUCCGCCACACUGGAACUGAGACACGGUCCAGACUCCUACGGGAGGCAGCAGUGGGGAAUUUUGGACAAUGGGGGCAACCCUGAUCCAGCCAUGCCGCGUGAGUGAAGAAGGCCUUCGGGUUGUAAAGCUCUUUCGGCCGGGAAGAAAUCGCAUGGGUUAAUACCCUGUGCGGAUGACGGUACCGGCAUAAGAAGCACCGGCUAACUACGUGCCAGCAGCCGCGGUAAUACGUAGGGUGCGAGCGUUAAUCGGAAUUACUGGGCGUAAAGCGUGCGCAGGCGGUUUUGUAAGACAGGCGUGAAAUCCCCGGGCUCAACCUGGGAACUGCGCUUGUGACUGCAAGGCUAGAGUAUGGCAGAGGGGGGUGGAAUUCCACGUGUAGCAGUGAAAUGCGUAGAGAUGUGGAGGAACACCAAUGGCGAAGGCAGCCCCCUGGGCCAAUACUGACGCUCAUGCACGAAAGCGUGGGUAGCAAACAGGAUUAGAUACCCUGGUAGUCCACGCCCUAAACGAAUGUCAACUAGGUGUUGGGGUGGGGUAAAACCC